rnacentral:rRNA from 1 species
CCUACGGGAGGCAGCAGUGGGGAAUUUUGGACAAUGGGGGCAACCCUGAUCCAGCCAUGCCGCGUGCGGGAAGAAGGCCUUCGGGUUGUAAACCGCUUUUGGUCGGGAAGAAAGGUUUCUCUUGAAUACGGAGGGACUGUGACGGUACCGGCAGAAUAAGCACCGGCUAACUACGUGCCAGCAGCCGCGGUAAUACGUAGGGUGCGAGCGUUAAUCGGAAUUACUGGGCGUAAAGAGUGCGUAGGCGGUUCGUUAUGUCUGUGGUGAAAGCCCUGGGCUCAACCUAGGAAUGGCCAUGGAAACUGGCGGGCUGGAGUAUGGCAGAGGGGGGUGGAAUUCCGCGUGUAGCAGUGAAAUGCGUAGAGAUGCGGAGGAACACCGAUGGCGAAGGCAGCCCCCUGGGCUACUACUGACGCUGAGGCACGAAAGCGUGGGGAGCAAACAGGAUUAGAUACCCUGGUAGUCCACGCCCUAAACGAUGAUCACUAGGUGUUGGGGAAGUGAUUCCUUGGUACCGCAGCUAACGCGUGAAGUGAUCCGCCUGGGGAGUACGGCCGCAAGGUUAAAACUCAAAGGAAUUGACGG